AACGAACGCUGGCGGCGUGCCUAACACAUGCAAGUCGAACGAGAAAGGGGCUUCGGCUCCGAGUAAAGUGGCGCACGGGUGAGUAACACGUGGGUAACCUGCCUCUAAGAUUGGGAUAACUCGUCGAAAGAUGAGCUAAUACCGAAUAAGACCACAGUUCCCGCGGGAACAGGGGUCAAAGGUAGCCUCUGCUUGCAAGCUAUCACUUAGAGAUGGGCCUGCGCACCAUUAGCUAGUUGGUAGGGUAACGGCCUACCAAGGCAAAGAUGGUUAGCUGGUCGGAGAGGAUGAUCAGCCAGACUGGAAGUGAGACACGGUCCAGACGCCUACGGGAGGCAGCAGUGGGGAAUAUUGCGCAAGGGGCGAAAGCUUGACGCAGCAACGCCGCGUGAGUGAUGAAGGCCUUCGGGUCGUAAAGCUCUGUCGGGAGGAACGAAUGCUCCUGAGGUUAACAGCCUCGGGAGGUGACGGUACCUUCAAAGGAAGCACCGGCUAACUCUGUG
rnacentral:rRNA from 1 species